rfam:Holdemania filiformis DSM 12042 genomic scaffold Scfld1, whole genome shotgun sequence.
GGGGUUGUCAUGGUUUCGACAGGUCUAAGUUGGAUUCAGACUGCAGUGGGGCGGCUGCCUAACAGCCAACAAAAAAUAACUGGAAAAUCUUUUUUAGCUAAUCUGUUCGGUGGAAACCGUCAGGUUGCUUUCGCUGCUUAAUAUCUCAGCAUAGAGAUUGCAGCUGCUGCCGGUGAUUCUUUCUUCAGGUUGCCGGACAGUAUCAGAAAUGAAGGAUAAGGAGAUUCGGAGUCUGGACGGAUUUCCCGACAAUCAACAGACAAACUCAGAUAGUUUUGUCCGUUAACAUAUCUGUUUUAUAAGCAAACGGAAUAAACUGUAGAUGUCUGAAUGGGGACUAUUCCUGGACCGGGGUUCGACUCCCCGCAGCUCCACCA